UAGCACACGCUAACUAUUGCUCUCAGAAAAAAUGCUUCUAAUUAGAGUUUAAUUUCACAGACCAUUAGAAAGUAUUAAGUCCUUGACCAUCAAUAGUGGUUGAUUUUGCAGAUUGAAAGCUUCAGAUGGAGGGACAACACAAGGAUGUGGAGGAGCAAGUUAAGGAUCGCUGAAGAUUCGAAUACUGAACCUAUCACCAAAUCGCCAAAUCAACCCUUUUUCAACAACCUUACGCCCUUUCAAUAUGUUACUCCAUCCCACGGUACUGCUCCGAUCUCUGCAUUCAUUAUAAAAUUGUAUCGAAAAUAUUUACCUUUGAAGAGUCUAGAUAAGAGUGAUUGUGGCUGAGAGACAACUUUCCAAUAUUAUUUUGUUAAUAGCGCCAAAUUUUGAUCCCCUUGGUCCUUAAAAACAAGUCCACCUUCUAAUUUCGGUAUUGUCAUAAUAUCUCAACUAACCCAUGCAAUUUUUCGCUCUGUACCUUUUUGACCCACCAAAAUUGGGAGAGUGUGUUAUGAAUCUCCCUAAUUAAAAUGUCAGAAAGACGGAAACGUGAUAAUGAAUAAAUUGGGAUAGCCUCCCCAACAACUUUGAUUAGAACAUGUCUGUCUGUAGAAGAGAGAAGUUUUCUUUUCCACCCUUGAACUCGCUUCCUCACCUUGUCCUUGAUUUCUUCGAAAGUGUUUUUUUUUUUUUUUGGACUGUAGAUGAAAGACCCAAAUACUUAUCCUGUGCACCAAUAUGGACAAUUUUCAAUUUCCGAGCCAGUAGUAAUCGAGCAGUAGAAGGAGUAUCAUUACUAAAGAAUAGAGCUUAUUUAUGCAAAUUAACUUUUUGGCCACUGAAUUCCUUGUAUGACUGAAGAAGACUAAGAAUAUUUUUACAACUAUUUUCUGACACUUUACAAAAAAGAAUUGAGUCAUCCGAAAACAAAAAAAUUAUUAACAGAAGGCCAUCUUCGGUUGAUUUGAAUACCUUCAACAGGAUCAUUUUACUCUGCCUUGUUUAGUAAAAAGGAUAAUUUUUCUGCACAGAAAAGAAAAAGAUAGGGAGAUAAAGGGUCUUCUUGACGGAUAGCUCUAUUUGGUUUUAAAAAAAUCUAAAGAUUGACCUUCAACAAUGAUAGAGUAAGAAACUGUAGUCACUACCUCCUGUAUCUAACCAAUCCACCUAGAUUCAAAUCCCAGUUUCUCUAAAAUGAACCAAAGGAAAUUCCACUCAACACAAUCAUAGAUUUUGCUCAUAUCUAAUUUAACAGCCAUUUCAGUCGAUAGGUCCAUUUUCUUUGUCUUUAGAUAGUGCAUACAUUCAUGAGCGACUAGGACAUUGUCUGAAAUCAAUUUACCCUUAAUAAAGGCACUCUGAUUAGGGCUGAUCAGCAAAUUCAUUAAUUUCUGUAGUCAAUGGACUAGUACUUUAGAAAUAAUCUUGUACACAACUGAAGAAAGGCUGAUGGAUCUAACCUGUGUCAUAUCCUUUGCAUCAAAAAUCUUAGGAAUGAGAUAGAUUUGUGUAUGGUUGAAGCUCUUGAAUAGUCUACCACUGACAAAGAAAUUGUGGACAGCCUUGAAAACAUCCUCCCCUACUAAACUUCAUAGAAUUGAAAGAAUUUAGCUGUAAAUCCAUCAUCACCAAAGGCGCGCUCUGGGGGUGACUACUAAAUACCGCACGUUUUAUCUUAUCAAAACUGACCGGUCUAAUUAAAUUUUUUGUUCAUAGUUGCUGAAACUUGGUUUCAAAAUCUUCGAAUGCAUGUGCCGGAUUAGCUUGGUCAAUCGAUGUGAAGAUAUCCUUGAAGUAUAUUUCAGCUACUUGUGCAAUUUCCUCACGGGUGGUAGCAUACAUACCACCAUUCUUUUCCAGUUUUCAAAUUUUAUUUUUCCGGAUUCUGGAUUGGAAUGAUUGGUAAAGAAAUUUAUAUUUCUGUCCCUUCUUUUAGCCACUUUACUCGAUAUUUUUUCCUCCAAUAGCUUUUCUCCGUAAAAUAAGCAUCCUCAAGUUUAUUUUUCAAGACUUCAAUUUGUUCUCCUCAUAUAAUGCCCUCCUCUCUGAGGAUUUCAAGCUGAGAUGUGAGUCCACCAAUGUCCUUUGAAUUAAAUUUGUUCCGUUGCUGCCAUUGAACAAUACGGUGCUUCAAUUGGGAGGCAAAACAAACAUUGUUAAGCGAUCCACCCAUUCCUUUCAAGCUUCGGUAAUAAUUACCUUAAUUUUUUCUAAAUCACACCAUCUCUCCUGAAAUUUAAACUUCUAUUUAGAUUUUUCUAUGACUGGAUUUGUAUCAAGGAGGAUAGAUACACGACCUAAACCAUUUUUUGCGAGCCGAGACAGCGAGGCUGACAGAAAAUAAUCCAUCCACUCACCGUUUGCAAGUGCACGGUUAAGCCGCUCCCUGAUCUGGUUCUGCCAUCGUCGCCUAUUAGUCUAGGUGAACCUUUUUCCAAUCAUACCCAAGUCUUUCAGUCCACCACCAUCAAUAAAAUUCACAAAUUCAUAAAUAGAUGAAGCUAAUUUUAAACCCCUCCUUCUCAUCGAGACUCACCAUAGCAUUAAAAUCACCCAUAAUUAUAACCUUUCCAAGGAAACAUUGUACAAUAGAGGAAAGUUUUGUGUAUUGGAUAGAUCGAAUCCCAUCCAAGCUAUUUAAAUGUACUCCAAUCAGCUCCCAUAAACAGUUCAAAGCAGGAUCAGUGAUGCCUGAGCAUCAUUCAUAUCUUUUCUAUAGAAUUUAUACAAUGAUUUGUUGAUUUCCUAAAAGAUUUAAGUGAUCUACACUCUAUUGGAUGCUACUUUGAGUUGUUGCAUUGUGUUGAUUACAGGUAGCAUUCGGGUGAAAGAUGGGACAAAAUUCUUGAAGAAGAAGUUUACCAACCCUUUUUGGCAAGGUGGUGAUAAACGCUGGUGAAGCUCUCACCCUUCUCUGCUAAGGUCACGCUAAACGCUACAUCAUCGAUGUUUAGCGCCGGGUCCUUGGAUUGUGUGCAUAACCUUGCGGGAUAGGUAGCCCUAAAUGCCACAUCACUGGCAUUUAGCGCCGACAGCGUGAAUUGAAGUGGUUCCCACGCACGCAACCAAAUCACACGAAGGAAAUCAAUUUGAAUUGAAUUCAAUUUGUAAAUAGAAAAAGAUAUUAUUAGGUUUAAGAUUUAAUUUUAGUAUCAAUUAGGAUUAGAACUAUAAAAAGGGAAAAGAUUCGCCCUGCGGGCUCUCUUCUUUCCUAGAAAUUUCGC
rnacentral:lncRNA from 1 species